UAGCUAGUUGGUGAGGUAAAGGCUCACCAAGGCGACGAUCUGCAGCGGGUCUGAGAGGAUGAUCCGCCACACUGGAACUGAGACACGGUCCAGACUCCUACGGGAGGCAGCAGUGGGGAAUUUUGGACAAUGGGGGCAACCCUGAUCCAGCCAUGCCGCGUGAGUGAAGAAGGCCUUCGGGUUGUAAAGCUCUUUCGGCCGGGAAGAAAUCGCAUGGGUUAAUACCCUGUGCGGAUGACGGUACCGGCAUAAGAAGCACCGGCUAACUACGUGCCAGCAGCCGCGGUAAUACGUAGGGUGCGAGCGUUAAUCGGAAUUACUGGGCGUAAAGCGUGCGCAGGCGGUUUUGUAAGACAGGCGUGAAAUCCCCGGGCUCAACCUGGGAACUGCGCUUGUGACUGCAAGGCUAGAGUAUGGCAGAGGGGGGUGGAAUUCCACGUGUAGCAGUGAAAUGCGUAGAGAUGUGGAGGAACACCAAUGGCGAAGGCAGCCCCCUGGGCCAAUACUGACGCUCAUGCACGAAAGCGUGGGUAGCAAACAGGAUUAGAUACCCUGGUAGUCCACGCCCUAAACGAUGUCAACUAGGUGUUGGGUGGGUAAAACCAUUUAGUACCGGAGCUAACGCGUGAAGUUGACCGCCUGGGGAGUACGGCCGCAAGGUUAAAACUCAAAGGAAUUGACGGGGACCCGCACAAGCGGUGGAUGAUGUGGAUUAAUUCGAUGCAACGCGAAAAACCUUACCUACCCUUGACAUGUCCAGGAGCCUGAAGAGAUUUGGGUGUGCCCGAAAGGGAACUGGAACACAGGUGCUGCAUGGCUGUCGUCAGCUCGUGUCGUGAGAUGUUGGGUUAAGUCCCGCAACGAGCGCAACCCUUGUCGUUAAUUGCCAUCAUUUAGUUGGGCACUUUAACGAGACUGCCGGUGACAAACCGGAGGAAGGUGGGGAUGACGUCAAGUCCUCAUGGCCCUUAUGGGUAGGGCUUCACACGUCAUACAAUGGUCGGUACAAAGGGUUGCCAACCCGCGAGGGGGAGCCAAUCCCAGAAAGCCGAUCGUAGUCCGGAUUGCAGGCUGCAACUCGCCUGCAUGAAGUCGGAAUCGCUAGUAAUCGUGGAUCAGCAUGUCACGGUGAAUACGUUCCCGGGUCUUGUACACACCGCCCGUUACACCAUGGGAGCGGGUUCCGCCAGAAGUAGGUAGCCUAACCGCAAGGGGGGCGCUUACCACGGCGGGGUUCGUGACUGGGGUGAAGUCGGAACAAGGUAGCCGUAGGGGAACCUGCGGCUG
rnacentral:rRNA from 1 species